AGCCCAAACCAAAUAUAUGUUAAAGCCCGGAAGCGUUGUAUAUUUGGUGUCGUGGGGGUAGACCGGAUGGAAUUCCGGAUCCGUCGGAAAGUGAUAAACCUGAUUUAUAGAUGAAAUGCCUGGAACGGCAUGCCAUAGGGAGUGAUAGCCUCGUAAUCGAAAUAAAUCAGACUUUCUGGGUCUAUUACCCAAGUACCACGGGACACGUGGAACCCUGUGGGAAUUCGGGAGGACCAUCUCCUAAGGCUAAAUACUACUCGGUGACCGAUAGUGAACCAGUACCGUGAGGGAAAGGUGAAAAGUACCCCUGUGAGGGGAGUGAAAUAGUACCUGAAACCGUUUGCCUACAAGCUGUGGGAGGACGAUGUGACCCGGUUGCUUGCAACCCAGUCACCGUCUGACCGCGUGCCUUUUGCAUAAUGAGUCAGCGAGUUACGCUACGUAGCAAGGUUAAGCCGUUAGGUGUAGCCGGAGCGAAAGCGAGUCUGAAUAGGGCGAUUUAGUUGCGUGGAGUAGACCCGAAACCAAGUGAUCUAUCCAUGGCCAGGGUGAAGCGCCAGUAAAAUGGCGUGGAGGCCCGAACCAUUGCAGGUUGAAAACUGCUUGGAUGAGCUGUGGAUAGGGGUGAAAGGCCAAACAAACUUGGAAAUAGCUGGUUCUCCCCGAAAUAUAUUUAGGUAUAGCCUCGCAUCAUGAGUGACGGGGGUAGAGCACUGGAUGGGCUAGGGGUCCUACCAGAUUACCAAACCUAACCAAACUCCGAAUACCGUUUACUUUUAUUGCGGGAGUCAGACUACGGGAGCUAAGUUCCGUGGUCAAGAGGGAAACAGCCCAGAUCGCCAGCUAAGGUCCCUAAAUAUGUGCUAAGUGGGAAAGGAUGUGGAAAUGCCCAGACAACCAGGAGGUUGGCUUAGAAGCAGCCACCCUUUAAAGAAAGCGUAACAGCUCACUGGUCGAGUGAGUCUGCGCCGAAAAUGUAACGGGGCUCAAGCACAUUACCGAAGCUGCGGGUCUCACAUUUAUGUGAGACGGUAGGGGAGCAUUCUGUCAAGGUUGAAGGUCGACCAUAAGGACGGCUGGACAUGACAGAAGAGAUUAUGCUGACAUGAGUAACGAUAAAGCGGGUGAAAAACCCGCUCGCCGUAAGCCCAAGGAUUCCUGAGUAAAGCUAAUCUGCUCAGGGUUAGUCGAUCCCUAAGCCAAGGCCGAAAGGCGUAGGUGAUGGAAAACAGGUUAAUAUUCCUGUACCACCUAGCUAUCAAUUUCUUUUCGGAGAAGAGAGUGAUUGGGGGGACGCAGAAGGGUAGGUCAGCCACCUGUUGGAAUAGGUGGUUCAAGCUGGUAGGCGGAAAGAACAGGCAAAUCCGUUUUUUCAUUCAACGCCGAGAAGUGAUGAGGAUGCGCUUUGCGCAACAAACUGAUUGAUCCCAUACUGCCAAGAAAAGCCUCUAGCGAGAUAGCAAGGUGAUCGUACCGCAAACCGACACAGGUGGGCAGGGAGAGAAUCCCAAGGCGCUUGAGAGAACCCUGGUUAAGGAACUCGGCAAAAUGACACCGUAACUUCGGGAUAAGGUGUGCCUCCAUUAGGUGUAGCGUUUUACAUGUGAAGCCGAAGGGGGCCGCAGAGAAAUGGCGGUAGCGACUGUUUACUAAAAACAUAGGACUCUGCUAAGUCGUAAGACGAUGUAUAGGGUCUGACGCCUGCCCGGUGCCGGAAGGUUAAGGGGAUUUGUUAUCUCGAUUCGUCGAGAGAAGCUUUGAACCGAAGCCCCGGUAAACGGCGGCCGUAACUAUAACGGUCCUAAGGUAGCGAAAUUCCUUGUCGGGUAAGUUCCGACCUGCACGAAUGG
rnacentral:rRNA from 1 species